rnacentral:rRNA from 1 species
AUUGAACGCUGGCGGCAGGCCUAACACAUGCAAGUCGAGCGGAUGAAGGGAGCUUGCUCCUGGAUUCAGCGGCGGACGGGUGAGUAAUGCCUAGGAAUCUGCCUGGUAGUGGGGGAUAACGUCCGGAAACGGGCGCUAAUACCGCAUACGUCCUGAGGGGGAAAGUGGGGGAUCUUCGGACCUCACGCUAUCAGAUGAGCCUAGGUCGGAGUAGCUAGUUGGUGGGGUAAAGGCCUACCAAGGCAACGAUCCGUAACUGGUCUGAGAGGAUGAUCAGUCACACUGGAACUGAGACACGGUCCAGACUCCUACGGGAGGCAGCAGUGGGGAAUAUUGGACAAUGGGCGAAAGCCUGAUCCAGCCAUGCCGCGUGUGUGAAGAAGGUCUUCGGAUUGUAAAGCACUUUAAGUUGGGAGGAAGGGCAGUAAGUUAAUACCUUGCUGUUUUGACGUUACCAACAGAAUAAGCACCGGCUAACUUCGUG